AAUUUGCAUCUGGGAGGCGUCCAUUUCCUUUGCUUGUGAUGAAAGCACAGAAGUGAUGGGGGCACAUGUGAGUUCUACUGGUGCAGCUAUUGCAGCUGCAGGAAGAGUAGAAGACAAAGGGAGUUUUCUUCAUGACAGCAACAUCAGCCAUUUGCUUCAAGUUUAUAACUAUUGAGGAAAUGGAGAGGAACACUUGCUGUCAGAAAUCACAGCAGCUGUACAGAAGCUGGAUGUAUUCUGGGGACAGUUCUUGUAACCAGGGUUCCUGUCCAAAAGGAGAUAAAUAAUCAUAGAGUUGCUCAGGUUGGAAAAGACCUUAAAGAUCAUGAAGUCCAACUGCAACCUAACCAUGGUACCCUAACUCUAACAACUCACCACAAGAGAGAGGAGGGGAGCAAGGCAGUCCAAGAAAGAGUGAAGCCAGCUCUUUCCAAGAGCAGGGGAAGUCUCUGUGGAGAGAAUCCCAAGAACUUGAGCUUCCUCUGAGAUGUACCCCACCGUGUCUCAGCAAGGAGACAACCGCUGUUCCCAUUUCUGCUCUGCAAUUGGAACGGGAUGGAGUCUGCACAUCCAUUGAAGGGUGCUGGACAUGGGGGAAAACAGAAAGCCUCCACUGAAGCUGAUGCAAGCAGCCUUGCAGAAAGAUAGGGGAGGACUGCAGAGUGUGCCGUGGCACCGAAGAGGUACAGACACACAACAGGCAUCUGGGUUUGAUGUACUGUUCUGGUUAGGCUUUCUGUCUGUCCUUUCCUGGGACUGUUUUCCUUGUGUGUCCUUUCCUGUCCUGAUGUGAAAUGUGAACCCAAAGUUCCCCCAAGAUCCUAAGAUGCAUUACCGCAAUCACUCAAGAUCAGAUUUCCUAGUAUUGUGGCCCGUUCUGCAGACUGAAAGUGGUGUUGGACCCUCUUUAAAUCUUGUUGCUUCUCCUUUCUUGAUGAUGACAGUGAGAGGUGCUGAGGCAAAUGGAAAGGGGUGCAUGAAUGCAGUGCAAGAAGUCCAUUCUGAGAGAGCUCGUUGAUGAGCAGGAUCUGAAGCUCAUUUCUAGUCUGGUGGGCUUCCUACAAGAGCAGGUCCCAGCUUAGGGACCCAGCAGCAGAGCAG
rnacentral:lncRNA from 1 species